ACAAAAACAUCUUUUCUUGUUAGUUUUUGAAGUAUGGCCUGCCCACUGACGUGAGAUUGGUUGAAGGGCCGCGGUAUUUUGACCGUGCAAAGGUAGCAUAAUCAUUAGUUCUUUAAUUGUGAUCUAGUAUGAAUGGCUUGACGAGACAUAAGCUGUCUUAAGGUUUAGAAUUGAUUUGUUGAAUUUGGUUUUUGAGUUAAAAUUCUUAGAUGUUUUUAUGGGACGAGAAGACCCUAUAGAGUUUGACAUUUAUUUCGUAUUUGUUUGAUUGUUGUGUUAUUGUUCUUUGAGUACGAUGUUGAGUGUUUUGUUGGGGUGAUGGGAGGAAUGUUUUUAACUCCUCUUAAAUAAUGAAUAUUUAUUUAUAUUUUUUUGAUCCAUUUAUUUUGAUUGUAAGAUUAAAUUACCUUAGGGAUAACAGCGUUAUCCUCCUUGAGAGUUCUUAUUGGCGGGAGGGUUUGCGACCUCGAUGUUGGAUUAAGGUUAAUUUUUGGUGUAGGAGCUGAAAUUAUUAGGUCUGUUCGACCUUCAAAAUCUUACGUGAUCUGAGUUCAGACCGGA
rnacentral:rRNA from 1 species